UGAAAGAUGAAUUUAAGCCUAAACCACGAGGGCAGUAUUUUACAGAGUAUUCUCCUCAUACCUCGGGAUCAAGGUAUUUCCAAGAUUCUAUUAGCUUUAUCAAAUGGCGACUUUCCCCAGUCAAUGUAAACCAGGCCUUCUGAAAACAAGGUGACAGGAUCCUCUUAUCGGUGAAAGGAACAUUGUUUAUGUCUGAUCAACUGAAAAAACGUAUACAAGAGAAAUUACAGCCUUCUAUGAAUUUCCGCAACCAGUCUAUGGAAUUUCAGCUUUAGCAGAGGGGUUAACUCACUUAAAAUUCGGUGGAAGCAAUGAUUUGUAUUUUUUUUAAAUUGCAUCCAUUUGUUUAUCAAAUGUGAAAAUUAGGGGACUUGGGCUUGUUUAUGUCUUAAUUUCUUUCCCUAAUAAGAAACAUACUACAGAGGAAGCAGAAGCACCAUGAAUGAUCAAGAAUCAUAAGCAUGCUACAGUGAUGAUCUGUCUCUGAACCAAUUGCCUCCUGACCAUCUUGACCCUGUUUCACAGCCACCCACGCUGUUUAUACCACGAGACGUGCUCCUCACUUACCCUGCUCAGCACGCACAUCCUAAAUGUUAAGUUAUGGAUAUUCUGGAAAAGCACUGGGAGGGGAUGUGGUAUUUCUGUGUCAGCUAAGACAAAAGCAUUUGACACAUCCCGUCAGACGGCAUUGACUCAGGCGUUCUGGGCUGCCUUAAAUAAUGUGACGUGACGGCAAUGGUAAAAGCCAGACGGGGGGAGAAGCCGAG
rnacentral:lncRNA from 1 species